rnacentral:rRNA from 1 species
AUUGAACGCUGGCGGCAGGCCUAACACAUGCAAGUCGAGCGAGCGGCGGACGGGUGAGUAAUGUCUGGGAAACUGCCUGAUGGAGGGGGAUAACUACUGGAAACGGUAGCUAAUACCGCAUACCAUCAGAUGUGCCCCGCGGGGAUGUGCUAGUAGGUGGGGUACCGGCUCACCUAGGGGACGAUCCCUAGCUGGUCUGAGAGGUUGACCAGCCACACGGGAACUGAGACACGGUCCAGACUCCUACGGGAGGAAGCAGUGGGGAAUAUUGCACAAUGGGCGCAAGCCUGAUGCAGACAUGCCGCGUGUGUGAAGAAGGCCUUCGGGUGGUAAAGCACUUUCAGCGGGGAGGCGUUACCCGCAGAAGAAGCACCGGCUAACUCCGUGCCAGCCGCCGCGGUAAUUC